GAUGAAGAACGUAGCGAAAUGCGAUAAGUAAUGUGAAUUGCAGAAUUCAGUGAAUCAUCGAAUCUUUGAACGCACAUUGCGCCCGGUAGUAAUCUGCCGGGCAUGCCUGUCCGAGCGUCAUUUCACCCCUCGAACCACUAUUCGCGUAGCUGGAUCGGUGUUGGGGCACUACGGUGGAAUACCCGUAGGCCCCGAAAUGAAGUGGCGGUCCCGCCGCGGCGCCCCCAUGCGUAGUAACUUUCAGUCUCGCAUCGGGUCCCGGCGGAGGCCUGCCGUCAAGCCUAUUUUAUAAUCUUUUACAGAUGGUUUGACCUCGGAUCAGGUAGGGUUACCCGCUGAACUUAAGCAUAUCAAUAAGCGGAGGA
rnacentral:misc_RNA from 1 species